rnacentral:misc_RNA from 1 species
UCCGGUUUGACACCGGCAGUCUCUCAUGAGUCCCCGACAUUACGCGCUGGCAACUAGGGACAAGGGUUGCGCUCGUUGCGGGACUUAACCCAACAUCUCACGACACGAGCUGACGACAGCCAUGCAGCACCUGUGUUCCGAUUCCCGAAGGCACCCCCGCAUCUCUGCAGGGUUCCGGACAUGUCAAGGGCAGGUAAGGUUCUUCGCGUUGCAUCGAAUUAAACCACAUGCUCCACCGCUUGUGCGGGUCCCCGUCAAUUCCUUUGAGUUUUAGCCUUGCGGCCGUACUCCCCAGGCGGGGCACUUAAUGCGUUAGCUACGGCACGGAACCCAUCGAAUGAGGCCCCACACCUAGUGCCCAACGUUUAGGGCCAAGAAUAC